AUUGAACGCUGGCGGCAGGCCUAACACAUGCAAGUCGAACGAGUGGCGGACGGGUGAGUAAUGUCUGGGAACUGCCUGAUGGAGGGGGAUAACUACUGGAAAAGGUAGCUAAUACAGCAUACUAUAGGAAAACACAUAUGGGAUUAGCUAGUAGGUGAGGUAAUGGCUCACCUAGGCGACGAUCCCUAGCGGGUCUGAGAGGAUGAUCAGCCACACUGGGACUGAGACACGGCCCAGACUCCUACGGAUGCAGCAGUGGGGAAUAUUGCACCUUGGGCGCAAGCCUGAUGCAGCCAUGCCGCGUGUAUGAAGAAGGCCCUAGGGUUGUAAAGUACUUUCAGUCGGGAGGCGUUACCGACAGAAGAAGCACCGGCUAACUCCGUGCCAGCAGCCGCGGUAAUUC
rnacentral:rRNA from 1 species